rnacentral:tRNA from 1 species
GCGAGGGUGGCGGAACUGGUAGACGCACCAGACUUAGGAUCUGGCGCCUUGCGGUGUGGGGGUUCGACUCCCCCCUCUCGCA